UGGCGGCAGGCCUAACACAUGCAAGUCGAACGGUAACAGGAAGCAGCUUGCUGCUUUGCUGACGAGUGGCGGACGGGUGAGUAAUGUCUGGGAACUGCCUGAUGGAGGGGGAUAACUACUGGAAACGGUAGCUAAUACCGCAUAACGUCGCAAGACCAAAGAGGGGGACCUUCGGGCCUCUUGCCAUCGGAUGUGCCCAGAUGGGAUUAGCUAGUAGGUGGGGUAACGGCUCACCUAGCUCGACGAUCCCUAGCUGGUCUGAGAGGAUGACCAGGCACACUGGAACUGAGACUCCGCCCAGAGUCCUACGGGAG
rnacentral:rRNA from 1 species